UUUAAUUUUAGGCCAAAAUUAAAAAUAUGUUUGUUUCCCCUCCCCCACCCGGGUCAAAAAUAAGCCCCCGGGUCAAAAAAUUAUUUUCCACAAAAAAUCGAAAUUAUUUUUUUCCUGAAAAUAAUUUGUUUCCAUUUUUGGAAAGUGCUUGAAAGCAGAAGGAUUGAUAAUCUAAAUAAAUACACUCAAAUUGAGCACAAACAACUGAUAAGUGGCCUGGACUGGACAAGUCAAACCAUUCAUGUGACCAUGCUACAUGUAUGACAAUCACAUCCAGUUAAAAAAAAAAAAAAAGAAAAAAAGAACCUGCCUUCCUGGUCUGUUUACAAAGGGUAAACCCGGGGGAGGGGAAACAGACAUUCUUUUAAAUGUGGCCUUAGUU
rnacentral:lncRNA from 1 species